rnacentral:rRNA from 1 species
UACGAAGGGUGCUAGCGUUGCUCGGAAUUACUGGGCGUAAAGCGCUCGUAGGCGGACUCUCAAGUCAGGGGUGAAAUCCUGGAGCUCAACUCCAGAACUGCCUUUGAUACUGGGAGUCUUGAGUUCGGGAGAGGUGAGUGGAACUGCGAGUGUAGAGGUGAAAUUCGUAGAUAUUCGCAAGAACACCAGUGGCGAAGGCGGCUCACUGGCCCGAUACUGACGCUGAGGUGCGAAAGCGUGGGGAGCAAACAGG